ACCUGUAUUUUCAGUUUUCUGUUGUAAGCUUUGCCACUUGUGAAGCCAUUUAUUAAUAUUAAUGUAUAGGUAGUACCGAGGGCUAUGGUUAUAGUUCUCUGUUCUUUUGAAUGAAUUUAUUUUUAUUUUAUUCCUGCAGUAUCUGUUUUAUGAUUUGUAUUUUGUGUGAAUUUUUAUUUUUUUUAUUUCUGCUGUAUAUAUUUUGACUUUUUAUCUCUGUAUUUUGUGUAUUUUUAUUUUGCGGGGACGCAAAAGUUUUGAGCGGGGGUGAAUGUGAGCGUGCGACCCCAGGUCUAUUUGUUAUCUAUUUUUAUCUGUAUUUCAAUCUGUUUACUUUAUAUAGGCCAGGCUAGAAUAAUUUAAUUUAGUGUCUUUUCUUCUUGCAUAGGUCAGUGCUGUGUGUUUGUAGUUUCCGCUAUUUAUAACUUCUGCUAGUUUUAGUCUUUUUCUGUUAUUUGUGGAAAAGUAGUUUUAAAAAUAGUUAACUAGCCUUAGAGUUGUUGGCACUGUUUCCAUUUCUUUGUCCCUGAUUAGUUCUACAUAUUUUUGUCUUUAGCGCUUAGGUUAGGUUAGUAGUUAUUUUCUACUUUCAGUCUAAGUGCAAGUCUAGAAGCUGUAUAGGGUCCCUGUACGAGUUUAGAACAUAAAUAUCUUUCUUCUUCCUUUUUGUAUUUUUGUGAGAUUUAAAUUUUAAGAUUCUCUUUUUUAUGCUGUUUAAUUUGGUAUAUAAUGUUGUGUAGUUGUGUCUUUAGUAAUUUUCUAGAUUUUAUUAUAGCGUACGGCUAGGUACAAAUUAGGGAAAUCAGUAGUCCAGUUUAGUUUUAGGUAAUUAGCGUGACGUCAUGCUCUCCGAUAUGUUCGCGCUGACCAGUUAUAGCUAGCUCCAGAACCACGUUGAGCCCUCUUUUGUCUUGACCAGUGGUCAGUGCUGACAGUGGUGCUGGUGUAGAGUUAAUUGUGUGUAGUGUAAUUUCAGCUGGGACCGCCUGCUAUCCUUACUGUUGUUAGUCUACUGCAGUACUGCUGUUGUUAGUCUACUGUAGGCUGUUGUUAGUCUACUGCCAUUAGUCUGCCAUUAGACUGCCAUUAGUCUGCCAUCGCCUCCUUGUACCUUUUUUUGUUAUAUUUUUUUAAUUCUAAGCUUAGGUCUAGGGUAGUAAUAGUUAGAUAAUUGGUUUGGUUAGUCUGUUAGUGUUUGUAGAUUUAGAGGGUUUUAGUUAGUUGCUGAGUUCAGUUGUAGUGCUAGUGUAGCUCUAUAUGUUAUAUUUUAUUAUUGAUUUAUUUGUGUGUGUAAAUAAAGUUUCUUUUUGUUUUAUUUAUCCUAAAGUAAAA